GGCGCUGUGGCUUAGUCGGUCAGAGCUCCUGUCUUGUAAACAGGAGGUCCUGCGUUUGAAACCCAGCAGUGUCU